rnacentral:ncRNA from 2 species
AAUAUCUUUAAGGGGAGUCUGUAUUAACAGUCUGAGAAUGGGAUGUUAUCCCUUACCCUCAUAACCUGAUUUGGGUAAUGCCAACGUAGGGAAAUACGGUUUGUUAUCA